rnacentral:lncRNA from 1 species
AAAAGCUGUUUGACUCCAAACUCCGUGAAACAUGGAGCCCAGGCAGCACACUGAUUGGGGAAUUCUCUGGCCAACUGUGACGAAGUAAGAUGUUGAGCAGAGGCAUUCUUCCAGAGUUUCCCGCAGAACCCACAUGGCUUUGGCCCUUGGAGAGCUCCAGGCCAUCAGAGAUGGUGCAGGAAUGGGGUAGGAGACAGAGGAAGCCCUGCAGGAAGCCAGCAAAAACCUCACCUACCUUGAGAACUCAGCAAUGCCGGAAGAGAUUGAGAUUCCUAGAGAAUGGAGGAGCCGGGAACAAAGGAGAAGGAUGGGAUCCAGGAACAGGCCAAGAGAACCAGCUCGAUGCUUCUUCCUCUCCCUUCUAGAAAAUUCUGUUCAGAAGCCAUUAGAUGGAAAGAAUCCCAAGAGACCAGUGAAGCAAGAAAUUAUCAAAGCUGCGGUAUUUACGAAGUCACUUUGUGCCAGUGCCCCAGCAAGCUGCCACCAUGGCUGCCAAGCCCUGUCACCCUUGCUGAUCAGUACAGAGAGGGGCUCGCUGCGCUGGGUAGAGGAAGCAGGAAGUUUGCUGAACUCAGACGGAAGAAAAAGGAUUCCUCUGGAGAAUCCCAGCAGGUUUCUGAUUGGACAUGGGUCCAUGUCCUUGUGAAGUCUCCUCCUCCUGAACCUGCCCUGCUCUGUGACUUGCUUUUGACCACCAGCAUGCUGCAGAAGUGAUGCCGUGUGACUUCUGAGUGGGUCAUAGGAAGCCUUGCAGUGUGGCCUGGGUCUUCAGGAAUGCUUGUUUGAGGAAAACCACUGUCAUGUAAGAAGUAUGGCUACCCUGAGACUGUCAUGGUGUGAGGACUCCUAAAUGAGUCACAUGUGGAUGGCCACCUAUUCAGGCCUCAGUUCUUCCAGCCAUUGCGACUGUGGCCCACGCAUGUGGGGGAAGAGGCCAUUUUUCACGCCCAUCCCAGUUGAGUCUUUAGAUGAUCCCUUCCUGGGCCUCCAGCUGACUGUAACCAGACUCCAGGCAGGAACCACAUAGGAACUGAACCCAGUCAACCCACAGGCUGGGGAGGAUGAUAGUCCAUUGUUGUAUAAAGCCACUGCAUUUGGAAUGGUCUGUUGUAUACUACCUAAUCAGAACAAGACUCAAUCCUUUCUUCAUAGCUGGUAGUCUUAAGCAUUUAUUAAUUCAUAUUUUAGUCACAUUAUGAAUUUUCUAUCACAAUAAGCAUUUAUUGAGCACUUUUUAUAGAGGGACUAUGCUAGGCUUGAAGAAUAAAAGACACAUAGGACACGGCCCUGCUUAUGUUCAGGUAGCUGUGGUCUAAACGAGGACGCACACAUAAGGUGAAGACCCCAUGAGAUGGAAUACACGGGGAUAACAAGCCUCACAGUGGACUGGUCGCUUUACCAGGGGUGAGGCGAUUCUGCCUAUAAGGUAGGGAAGGACUUUCUGAAAGGGUGACACUGAGUUCCACCUUGAAAAAUGCCUGAGAAUUCACCCAUAGACACAGUGGAAGAGGGGUGUUCCGAGGAAGGGAGAUCAAUGUGCAGAGAGACAGAAAUCCCGGUUCGCUUAUUCCCAACAAGGCAGAGAACAAACCUCUCCCAGUGAUGCCCUCCCUUGUUCCCGUCCCCAAUCUUUUGAUAAUAGUGGGAAGGGUUUCAAAGUGAGGGUUAAAAAUGGGCUGGUUUUGCCACCCCUUAGUAAGUCUUGGGCAGGAUUCUCAACUCUUGACACUCAUUAAAAUCACCUGGGAAGCUUUUGCAAAACUCCAGCAUGGUACAACUACUUUAGAAACUGGUGUUAUCCAUUAAAACUAAACAUUUGCUUAUCUUAGCAAUUCCACUCCUAGGUUUAUAGAGUAAACAGAAACACAUACGUGCCUGUGUCAAAAAACAUGUAUAGGCAUGUUCAAGACCACACUGUUUGGCCAAGUGCCCUAGUUCAUGCCUGUAAUCCCAGCAUCUUGGGAGGCCAAGGCGGGAGUAUUGCUUGAGGCCAGGAGUUUGAGACCAGCCUGGGCAUCAUAGUGAGACUCCCAUCUUGACACACACACAGUUUUUUUUUUUAAUUAGCUGGGUGUGGUGGCGUGCACCUGUAGUCCUAGCUACUUGGGAGGCUGAGGUGAUAGGAUCCCUUGAGCCCAGAAGUUCAAGGCUGAAAUGAGCUAUGAUUGUGUCACAGCACUCCAGUAUGGGCAACAGAGAGAUCCUAUGUCCAAAACAAAAACAAAAACAAAACAAAAAUACACACAUUAUUUGUAAGAUGUAAAAAAAGGGAACAAUCCAUGUGUAUCAAUAGAAUAGUUAUAUGCUGUGUAUGCGUAAUUAGUGUCUUAACCUGUUCAGGCUGCUGAAUACCUCAACUGGGUAAUUUACAAACAACAGAAUUUAUGGCUCAUGGUUCUAGAGGCUAGGUAGUCUAAGAUGCAAACGUCAACAGAUUUGAUGUCUGGUAAGGCCCUGUUCAUCAUAGAUGGCACCCUUUUGCUGUGUCCUCACAUGGCAAAAGGGACAAACAGGAUUUUUUCAAGCCUCUUUUAUGAGGGUACUAAUUCCAUUUAUGGGGGGAGAGCCUUUGUAACCCAUUCACUUCCUAAAGCCCCCACCACUUAAUACUAUUGGAGAUUAGAUUUCAAUAUAUGAAAUUUGGGUGGGACACAAACAUUCAUACCAUAGCGGGCAGACAAUGUAAUACUAUACAGCAAUGAAAAGAAAUGAACAACAGCGACCCAGAACAACAUGAAUGAACUUUUUUUUUUUUUUUGACAGAGUCUUGCUCUAUUGCCCAGGCUGGAAUGCAGUGACACAAUCUUGGCCCAACCUCCACCUCUUGGGUUCAAGCAAUUCUCCUGCCUCCGCCUUCCGAGUAGCUGGGAUUACAGGCACACGCCACCAUGCCCAGCCAAUUUUUGUAUUUCUAGUAGAGAUGGGGUUUUGCCACGUUGAUCAGGCUGGUCUUGAACUCCUGACCUCGGGUGAUCCGCCUGCCUCAGCCUCCCAAAGUGCUGGGAUUGCAGGCAUGAGCCACUGCGCCAGGCCCAUGAAUGAAUCUUAAAAAUAAAAUAGUGAAUCAAGGAAGUCAGACACAAAGAGUACAUACUCUACGGCUGCAUUUCUAUAAAUAUCAAAAAGAGGCAAAACAAAUGUGUGGUGUUAGAAAUCAGGAGAGUGUUACUAUCCUGGGGAGGAAGGAGAAGACCUGAAGGAACUUGAGGGGGGCUUUGGCCUGCUGGUAGAGCUUUUUUUUUUUUUGUCUCGAUCUAGGUGGUAGUUACAUACGGAUAUUCACGUUGUAAAAGUUUGCCAAGGCUUUAAUGUAAUUAUCUGAUGCAUAUUAUAAUUAAAAUGGAAAGUUUGUUUUAAAAGUACCAGUGCUUGGUCUCCACCCCUAUGGACUCUGGUUUUAUUGCUCUGGGAAGGAGCUCAGCCCUCUUAGUGGUGUAAAAAUUUUCCAGGUGAUUCUGAUAUGCAGUCAGGCUUGAGAAACACAUGCUGUGCUUGAUUAGUGGCCUCUCUCUUUGGACUUGGAGAAUGCUGGCCUGUUGUUUUCACCUAUUGGCCAGUCCCACUCAGCCUUUGGUUAUGAAUUAGAUUAGAAACGUAG